rnacentral:pre_miRNA from 1 species
AAUAUACUCCCUCCGUCCCAAAAUUCUUGUCUUAGAUUUGUCUAGAUACGGAUGUAUCUAAUACUAAAACGUGACUUGAUACAUCCGUACUUAGACAAAUCUAAGACAAGAAUUUUGGGACGGAGGGAGUAUGAC